rnacentral:rRNA from 1 species
GGAUCAAUAUGUCGAUCGUGCCUUCGGUACGUACUGGUAUCAUUGGUCUCUCCUUUCUGACGAACCAUGAUGUCAUUAAUUUGGUGUUAUGGGGAGUUAGGACUGUUACUUUGAAAAAAUUAGAGUGUUUAAAGCAAGCUAACGCUUGAAUACAUUAGCAUGGAAUAACGGAAUAGGACGUUUGAUUCUAUUUUGUUGGUUUCUAGGAUCGACGUA